AUUGAACGCUGGCGGCAGGCCUAACACAUGCAAGUCGAACGGUAACAGGAAGAAGCUUGCUUCUUUGCUGACGAGUGGCGGACGGGUGAGUAAUGUCUGGGAAACUGCCUGAUGGAGGGGGAUAACUACUGGAAACGGUAGCUAAUACCGCAUAACGUCGCAAGACCAAAAAGGGGGACCUUCUGGCCUCUUGCCAUCGUAUGUGCCCAGAUGGGAUUAGCUAGUAGGUGGGGUAACGGCUCACCUAGGCGACGAUCCCUAGCUGGUCUGAGAGGAUGACCAGCCACACUGGAACUGAGACACGGUCCAGACUCCUACGGGAGGCAGCAGUGGGGAAUAUUGCACAAUGGGCGCAAGCCUGAUGCAGCCAUGCCGCGUGUAUGAAGAAGGCCUUCGGGUUGUAAAGUACUUUUAGCGGGGAGGAAGGGAGUAAAGUUAAUACCUUUGCUCAUUGACGUUACCCGCAGAAGAAGCACCGGCUAACUCCGUG
rnacentral:rRNA from 1 species